AUACGGAGGGUGCAAGCGUUAAUCGGAAUUACUGGGCGUAAAGAGUACGUAGGUGGUUUGUUUAGUCAGAUGUGAAAGCCCAGGGCUCAACCUUGGAACUGCAUUUGAAACUGGCAGACUAGAGUAUGUUAGAGGGGGGUAGAAUUCAUAGUGUAGCGGUGAAAUGCGUAGAUAUUAUGAGGAAUACCGGUGGCGAAGGCGGCCCCCUGGCCAAAUACUGACACUGAGGUACGAAAGCGUGGGUAGCGAACGGCAUUAGAAACCCCAGUAGUCC
rnacentral:rRNA from 1 species